GACGAACGCUGGCGGCGUGCUUAACACAUGCAAGUCGAGCGGUAAGGCCCUUUCGGGGGUACGACGAGCGGCGAACGGGUGAGUAACACGUGGGUGACCUGCCCUUAGCUCUGGGAUAAGCCUGGGAAACUGGGUCUAAUACCGGAUAUGACUCCAUGACGCAUGUUGUGGGGUGGAAAGCCUUGUGCGGCUAGGGAUGGGCCCGCGGCCUAUCAGCUUGUUGGUGGGGUGAUGGCCUACCAAGGCGACGACGGGUAGCCGGCCUGAGAGGGCGACCGGCCACACUGGGACUGAGACACGGCCCAGACUCCUACGGGAGGCAGCAGUGGGGAAUCUUGCGCAAUGGGCGAAAGCCUGACGCAGCGACGCCGCGUGAGGGAUGACGGCC
rnacentral:rRNA from 1 species